UACGUAGGGGGCAAGCGUUGUCCGGAAUCAUUGGGCGUAAAGAGCGUGUAGGCGGCCAGAUAAGUCCGCUGUGAAAUCUCGAGGCUCAACUUCGAGCUGUCGGUGGAAACUGUCUGGCUAGAGUCCGGAAGAGGAGAAUGGAAUUCCUGGUGUAGCGGUGAAAUGCGCAGAGUAUCAGGAAGAACACCCGUGGCGAAGGCGGCUCUCUGGGACGGUACUGACGCUGAGACGCGAAAGCGUGGGGAGCGAACAGG
rnacentral:rRNA from 1 species